UUUUGUAGUUUAUUUAAAACAACAAUUUGUGGAAUUGUAAAUCUAAAAUUAAA
rnacentral:tRNA from 1 species